GAUCCGUGCAGGUCUGGUUCGACUCCAGCGUGCCGGUACUUUUCACCUCUCAGCGCCAGAGCAGAGCCGGUAGCCCAGGGUGUGUCACGUGCCCUUCUCGGCUGUGUGGAACGGCCCACCUAGAGCUCACCCCUGCUGGGCUGGAGAGGCGCUGCGGACCCCGUUUCCUUCCACAGGCCUCUUGAGCUGUACAGGAAGCUCCUGGUGGGCAGGUCUCCAUCAUCACAUCACGGCCGUGCUCCCAGCGGCGACUGCAGCCUCUCUUCAUCCCUUCACGGAGCGCGGGAAAGGGUCAGAGCGAGAGUGAACAGUCUGUCAUUUUUGGAGUAGUACGCAGAUAUCUCUAUCUACAUCAGCCACCGACAACCACGUAUUGGACAGUCGCUACUAUUUCUGGUGGUUUGAGAGACAGAUCCAGUGUGGUACGUCUGCAGAAGGAGCCUGCGUGAGUCCGAGUCUCACUGCGUUUGCGUCACACAUGUGCCAGUAAACAGUUAUAGUCAUCAAAAUCGAAACUGCGGCACAAUCCAGAGGUUGUUGAGAAGAUGUUCUGAUGCUGCGUGAGAUCAGUCUGUUACCACCAUCUGCUGGUGACGCACAGGACAGCGGCGACAGACUCGGCUCAGAACAGACUUUUAAAGUUCAGCUCGACUGUUAUUGCGUGAAUCAAGGAACGUUUUGACUCACGGGUCGUUUGACUUCGGUAUCAGCGUCCCCAGCUCCUUGAUCCUGUAGUUGAUGUUGUAUCGCCGUCGUCUUUCGACUG